UGAGAGGUGGUGCGAUGGCCGUCGUCAGUUCGUACUGUGAAGCAUCCUGUUAAGUCAGGCAACGAGCGAGACCCACGCCCACAGUUGCCAGCGUACUCUCUGGAGUGACGGGUACACUGUGGGGACCGCCGCUGCUAAAGCGGAGGAAGGAAUGGGCAACGGUAGGUCAGUAUGCCCCGAAUAUCCCGGGCUACACGCGAGCUACAAUGGUUGGUACAAUGGGUAUCUACCCCGAAAGGGGACGGGAAUCUCCUAAAACCAAUCUUAGUUCGGAUUGAGGGCUGCAACUCGCCCUCAUGAAGCUGGAAUCCGUAGUAAUUCGCGUUUCAACAGAACGCGGUGAAUACGUCCCUGCUCCUU
rnacentral:rRNA from 1 species